rnacentral:lncRNA from 1 species
GCAGCUUUCAGAUGAAGAUGUAGAACUCUCAGCUCCUCCUGCAUGCACCAUGCCUGCCUGGAUGCUGCCAUGCUCCCUGCCUUGAUGAUAAUGGACUGAACCUCUGAAUCUGUAAGCCAGUCCCAAUUAAAUGUUCUUCUUUAAGAGUUGCUUUGGUCACGAUGCCUGUUCACAGAGAGUAGAGAGCAGUCAAGAGGCUUUGGUCCCACUCUGAGUUUUGUUAAGGCUUCCUCUGAACUUCCAAGGCUCCUGCUCACCUGUGAAAUAGACCAGUCUCACAAGACAUACUUGGUUGUCCUGCCAACUAGGAGCUCCCUAAAGCAAAAUUUCCAUUAGUAUUUGAGUUUUCAUGGUUAAAAUGGUGUCUGGCACAUAACAAACACUCAGCAAACAUAAGAGUAAGUGCAGUCCAAGUUUUCUAGUUGCACGGUGCAGGUGUCCACAGAACCACCUUCUAUAGAACCGAAUGGACUCUGGGUAGCAUUAGCUGUCAGCUUGAAUCCUAUCUACCACUGUCACAUCAGCACAAACAUGCCCCAGGGUGUAAAGAGAACAGAAUAGGGAGACAAUUUGGAACUUGCCUGAUUUUGAAGAAGCUGAAAGUGACUGAAGUACCAACUCGAUGCGGCCAUUUCCUGUCAACUACACCCAACCACACUGAGGGACUGGCCACUCACAGCACGAUCUCCAUGGCCUCUCUCCUCCGUUCCCCUGAAGGACGAGCUGAAGAAAGGCCAUUUGUUAUCAAUGCCUGAUUUGUCUGCUACACUUAUCAAGCAUCCCAGAUGUGUAGGUGGGGUUGUUCUCACCUGUAUUAGAGUUCUUGUGUGCUUACCAACAAACCCUGGGCAAUAGAAGCAAAGGAGGAACGGAUGGAUUUCAGGUAGCAGAGGAAUAACUGUUGGGGACUCACCACCAUGGCUGCAGGAAGCCUGUUGCCAGCACCAAGAGGAAGUUUUAAAUGCCCCCCCCUCUCUUUUUUAUCACUGGAUCAAGAAUUCAAGUUUGAAAUGGGAGUAUUUAAUAACUGGUCCUAGCUGUCAGGGAUUGAGAGACCAAAUGUAUUUCCUUAUGCUCUGUAGUGGGAGGGAACAUCCCAAGAAUCACAUAGUAGGGGAGGUUCACACAUACUCUGCUGCAGAAAAAUGUCAGGCAUCCUCUACAUCACAGCUCAACAGGACAGCAUCUGGGUCCUUGGAUGAAGCAUCGUUUCUUUUUAAGAUGGGUAAAACCCAGUCUCUCAUAAAUCCAGUGGGGGCAGAUUUCAGUUUCAUGUGCAUUGGCUUGUUAGGAAUUCUUCUGUAAAGGCUAAAAUUCAAAGUUAAAUACCCAUAAGGCUUUAGAGGUUGUAGUUGAACACAGCAUGGUGCUGACACUUGACAAAAAUUCCUGCUGGCAGCACGGACAAAUCCAAGGAACUCAACUCUUAUCAACGUCUCCCCAAAGUGCAGAACAGCUCCACACUUGGCUCCUUCUGAGCCCAGUUGUUACUGUGGAGUCGAUGCUGGGAUCCAGCUCCUGACAGAGCACCUAGGUUAUGGGAGCCGCUGCAGCUUCUGGCUUAAGGGAGGCUGGAGGCGGAGCACAG